UGGGGAAUAUUGGGCAAUGGGCGCAAGCCUGACCCAGCAACGCCGCGUGAGGGAAGAAGGUCUUCGGAUUGUAAACCUCUGUCCUUGGGGACGAAAAAAUGACGGUACCCAAGGAGGAAGCUCCGGCUAACUACGUGCCAGCAGCCGCGGUAAUACGUAGGGAGCGAGCGUUGUCCGGAAUUACUGGGCGUAAAGGGUGCGUAGGCGGCGCCGCAAGUCAGAUGUGAAAUCCCCGGGCUUAACUCGGGGGGUGCAUUUGAAACUGCAGUGCUUGAGUGCAGGAGAGGAAAGCGGAAUUCCUAGUGUAGCGGUGAAAUGCGUGGAUAUUAGGAAGAACACCAGUGGCGAAGGCGGCUUUCUGGACUGUAACUGACGCUGAUGCACGAAAGCGUGGGGAGCAAACA
rnacentral:rRNA from 1 species